GCUUCUUGUAGGUGCAAGAUUUUGCCAGGAUCGUCGCUCGCUUCAUGGAGAUCCUUCCAAUUGCUUUGGAUGCAAGCGUCCCUGGACAAGAUGCGUGAAGGAAUCUCCAAGAAGAUCACUUUCUUGGGGCCCUGUGUGUGUGUGUGAUCGUCCCGCUAGCGUAGAAUAAAUCGCGCCAGGAAGCAAUACGAUCGCUGUAGCUCGCUGGCUCCCUCGCUCUACGAUGACAGAAUCAUCGAGCAGUAGCAGCGGCGGCCAUCGGCGGGGAUUCUUGCGCAAGAUCAUCGUCCUGAGGCCGCUCAUCCAUCUCAUCUUCGCCACGCUCCUCCACAUCAUGGCGACGAUGAUGGUGAUCCCGGCGCUCACGGAUGUUCUUCUUGGAGCGCUCUGCCCCGGCCAGGCCGAAUGCAACGAAGCGAUCUACUUGACCGGCAUCCAGCAAAUCGUCGCGGGGAUUGGGACGAUGCUGGUGACGCCGAUUCUCGGCGAGCUCUCGGACGAGUAUGGCCGCAAGCCGCUGCUGAUGAUUCCAUUCUCCGCCGCUGUUCUUCCCAUGGCGAUACUCGCCUAUAGCCAAUCCAGGCCGUUCGUUUACGCCUACAUGGUCGUGGGAACAGUGGUUAGGAUCUUCGCCGAGGGUGGCAUUACAUGCCUCUCUUUUGCGUAUGUGAGCGACUGUAUCGAGCGACGCUACCGAGCUCUUGCCAUUGGCGUGCUCAUGGGAUCGUUUUCAGUCGGUUAUGUCAUUGGGAUUCUUUUGGCCCGAGUGUUGGCUCAGGAUCAAAUUUUCAAGGUGGCUGCUGUCGUGAUUGCUUUUGCUGCGGUCUAUGUCAAAGUAUUUUUACCAGAGACAAAUGCCGAGCGUGGUCCACCGCUUCUUCCGAAUCACAGUGACACGCAUCAGCAGCAUAAGCGUGACGAAUGUCGCUCUACACCGCUGCUCAUGCGUAGCACUUCCUCAAUCACAGACACUGUUCUUCUGUUUAAACAGAACAAUCUUUUGACGCAGGUGGCGGUGAUAGUAUUCUUCUCCAGUCUUGGCGAAGCUGGAUUACAGGGUUCGCUGUUGUAUUAUUUAAAAGCGACUUUUGGUUUUGCAAAGGACCAAUUUGCAGAGCUCAUGCUAAUUAAUGGACUGGCAUCAGUGUUUUCUCAACUGCUCAUUAUGCCAGUCUUUGUACAUUUUUUCGGCGAAAAAAUCGUUCUGUUUAUAGCUAUUUCUGCUUCUGCUUCUCAUGCACUUUUAUAUGGAGUAGCAUGGGCAGACUGGGUGCCAUACGUCUGUUCCAGCUUCAGUAUCUUUUUUGUCUUGAGCUUCCCUUGCAUAGGGAGUAUUGUAUCAAAGACAGCGGAACCGGAAGAACAGGGUAAGUUCCAAGGUUUAAUUGCGGGUAUAAGAUCGUUUGCAACUAUAUUAUCACCGCUUGCUAUCAGCCCCUUGACAGCACUGUUUCUAUCCAAGGACGCUCCUUUCAAUUGCCCAGGAUUCAGUCUAAUCGUUGCUGGAAGCGUAAUGGUUGUAGCUCUUGUUCAAGCGCUCAUGCUCCAGCCAAUACCCCCGCCCCUAUCGAAGCCAAGUAAGUUAACUCAAGUGGCAAUUGCUUGCGAAGAACAGGUGGCUGCUUGGCCAGAGUUUUAAAAGACAACUCUCUCCCAUCGAUAGAUCGAUCACGACAGGCCAAAUCAUGCCAAAAAAAUGCGAUGGUUCUUUUUUUGUAUGAUCAUCCAAACUUAGGAACAAAGUUCGUGCGUAUGUACUUCGCCUGGGCUCCGAGAAAACGGCCAUUCCGUACUGUACUCGCGCCUGACGGGUGUGACGGCUUGCGCUCCACACGCGACGGUCGGUCUCACCCGUCAUCUGACGGUCAGUCGGCAGCCCACGCGCCACUGGUACGGCCUGCCGCCGGAAUGUGACUCUGCGCACAUGUGUAUCCACCUGUCAGGAUAUGCUUGGGGAUACGCUCCACGUGGACACCCACGUCAGCUUGGGUUUCUAUUCUCUAGGUUGGUAUUCUCUUCUCUUGGAAGCGAGGCAAUGGCGCUGUGGGGCAGGGGUUCUAAUCGCUGCUCUCUCGCGACGAUUUAUUAGGGCUUUGGCUCGAUCGAUCGAUCGAUCGCAGGGGAAGCGAUGGAGAGCGCGGCGCUGUCUCAGCUCGCGGCGAGCGAUCGUCGCUCAUCAGCUGGUUUGUUCCUGUGAUGAUUCUUGCGUGGCGGCGCCGGGGAUGAGGAAUUCGUGGCUGCGCGAUCCUGCAUUUCGCGAUCCUUGGCGAAAUAUCGUGCGCCGGGCGCUCGUAGGGUAUGAUGUCGCUGUUCUUGCUCUUUAUGUGUGGAAAUAUUUUUGUUUUCUUCGCU